rfam:Pteropus alecto contig41237, whole genome shotgun sequence.
AUCUAUGGCCAUGCCACCCUGAACAAGACGGAUGCUGUCUGAUCUCGGAAGCUAAGCAGGGUCGGGCCUGGUUAGUAUUUGGAUGGGAGACCACCUAGGAAGACCAGGUGCUGUAGGCA